GGAGUUACUAUUCCAGAUGGGUUGAUCAGGCCCUGACAGCAGAAAAUUUACCUAUUUAGGCCUUUUCCAAUGUACUGGUCCAAAUUCUACUUUUCCUCUCAUGCGCUGUUUCAUACAGUUGGAGGACCAAAAGUUCAGUGGAGCAAACUCAAAGAUUCUUUGCAGCGGUUGAUGCAUAUGAACCGAUCCAAAGUUGUGGAAUGGUGUCAGGACCUCGUAUGUAUAGCUGGCCAACGGGUCAGGCUUUUUCAAAAAGCCCGCAACGGGCCGAUCAUAGUGGACUCAGCCUGGCACGGUAAUAAACAGGUUGUGCCGGCCCGCGACCUAUCAUGGGUCGUGCCUGGGCCUCGAGGUUUAAUUUUUCUUUUUAAUUUUUUAAAAUGUCACGGUAAUAAACAGGUUUAACAUUUUUCUUUUUAAUUUUUUAAACUUUUUCCUUUGUAUAUUCUUUGCGGGCCGCCAGGCUAAACGGGCCUGGGCUGACUUGGCUGUGCCGGGGCUUGGGAUUCGCUGGAGCAUGCUCGGGUUGUGCCAGGCCAGGCCGACCAGUUUUUUUUUUCAAAAUGUCUUAUAUAAGCCGACAUGAUCAUUGAAUUGAAAACAUAUGCUAAGCCAUAACAAAAGGAUAACUAAAUCAAAGUCUUUUAACAAAAGGAGGAUUAAGGAACUAGUUCUUAGACACGUUGGCCACCUAUACUCACAUGUGAUUGGGAUGAGAGAAGGGUUGAGAGUGCAUGGUUGAAUAAAGUAGUUAUUACUUUUCUAAACAUGUGGGUCCCAUUGAGUAACAAAGAGGUUGUGCAAGCCAUUGUAGCCAAAUGACAAGACAAUCAUCGGUGCACCAGCUACACUGCGAAAGGCCUUAUAGGACUUGGAGCCUGAUUUGGGCCCUUCGAAAAAUGAGAAAUGAUAUCUGCUCCGAGAGGAUAGUAUCUAGGUUCUGCCUUCAUAUUGGGCAAGUUUACUUAAGACAUCUCUUUCUUGUCGGUUCGGUGACGAAUCAGCAGUUCGCGUCAACAUGCCUUACAAGGGGUGCGUUAAACACAACCUUUUGUUUCUAACAAUUGAAAGCCGACCAUAUAUAUAUUUAGUACACAGUACUUGCGUACGGACAUACCUUGCGGCUUCCAUGAAAAUCAAGGCCGUGGCGAACCAGAAAUCCUUGUCGGCCAGCACCGUGGGAUAGCCGCCGAGCAGGAUGACGGUGGCCCGCGUGAAAGCCAGCGUGCCCAGUGCGUUCCCCAGCCUCUCCAGCAGCACCACCAGCCUCACGAACCGAUUCAACCGCUUCUCCGGCUUGCCGGCGUCCUUCUUGCCGGCGGUAGGAGUCGCCGGCUGCAUCAUCUGCACGCGGUGCUCGGCCACGUUCGCCAUU
rnacentral:lncRNA from 1 species